AACGUAGGUACCGAGCGUUAUCCGGAUUUACUGGGCGUAAAGCGCGUUCAGGCGGUUUGGCAAGUCGGGCAUGAAAUCUCUCGGCUCAACCGGGAGAGGUUGUCCGAUACUGCUGGACUUGAGGGCAGUAGAGGGUGGUGGAAUUCCGGGUGUAGUGGUGAAAUGCGCAGAUAUCGGGAAGAACACCCGUGGCGAAGGCGGCUCUCUGGGACGGUACUGACGCUGAGACGCGAAAGCGUGGGGAGCAAACAGG
rnacentral:rRNA from 1 species